GGGGAGAGGAAGCGAGAAGAAAUGUUGUCUUUAAAAUUAAAAGACUUUUGAAUCAGUGGUUUAUUAGACAAGAAAGAAACAAUAGGACAUAUUGGGACUUAUUGGUACAGUACAUCUGCAGUAAUGAUCUCCUAUUAAUUAACCCACAUUUUUAUGGUAAUUGAUAAUUUUUCACGAACCGCUCGAUCAUCCCCAUUCGGGCAGAUUUUUAAAAUUUAAUUUAUAUUUCUUCAUAUAUUCUAAUUAUAUAAAUGUGAGUGGACUUAUGAAUAAGGUUUAUUCUACCCGUUUGCUGUACUUUUCGUUUGUUUUGCUUGUCUUGAAUGAGUAAUAGUCAAUUCCAGCUUUUAAUUUAUGCGUGCAGGGGAUGAUGGGAAGUAAGGUAUCAUAUUGCGAUUAUGCUGAAAAAAUUCAAUAAAAACUACCGAAACAACCGAAAUAUUUCAAUAUUUACAAGUAUAAGCUAUCACUCCGUGUUUACACGGCCACCAUUUUUAUUUU